rnacentral:rRNA from 1 species
UAGUGGGGGAUAGCCUUUCGAAAGGAAGAUUAAUACCGCAUAAGAUUGUAGUAUCGCAUGAUAUAGCAAUUAAAGGAGCAAUCCGCUAUAAGAUGGACCCGCGUCGCAUUAGCUAGUUGGUGAGGUAAUGGCUCACCAAGGCGACGAUGCGUAGCCGACCUGAGAGGGUGAUCGGCCACAUUGGGACUGAGACACGGCCCAGACUCCUACGGGAGGCAGCAUG